rnacentral:rRNA from 1 species
GACGAACGCUGGCGGCGUGCCUAAUACAUGCAAGUCGAACGAGAGCGACCGGUGCUUGCACUGGUCAAUCUAGUGGCGAACGGGUGAGUAACACGUGGGUAACCUGCCCAUCAGAGGGGGAUAACAUUCGGAAACGGAUGCUAAAACCGCAUAGGUUCUUUAGUCGCAUGACUGAAGAAGGAAAAGAGGCUUCGGCUUCUGCUGAUGGAUGGACCCGCGGUGCAUUAGCUAGUUGGUGAGGUAACGGCUCACCAAGGCCGUGAUGCAUAGCCGACCUGAGAGGGUGAUCGGCCACAUUGGGACUGAGACACGGCCCAAACUCCUACGGGAGGCAGCAGUAGGGAAUCUUCCGCAAUGGACGCAAGUCUGACGGAGCAACGCCGCGUGAGUGAAGAAGGAUUUCGGUUCGUAAAACUCUGUUGUUAGAGAAGAACAGCGCAUAGAGUAACUGUUA